rnacentral:rRNA from 2 species
CACACAUGGNAGAAAGUCUGAUGGAGCACGCCGCGUGAGUGAAGAAGGGUUUCGGCUCGUAAAACUCUGUUGUUAAAGAAGAACAUAUCUGAGAGUAACUGUUCAGGUAUUGACGGUAUUUAACCAGAAAGCCACGGCUAACUACGUGCCAGCAGCCGCGGUAAUACGUAGGUGGCAAGCGUUGUCCGGAUUUAUUGGGCGUAAAGCGAGCGCAGGCGGUUUUUUAAGUCUGAUGUGAAAGCCUUCGGCUCAACCGAAGAAGUGCAUCGGAAACUGGGAAACUUGAGUGCAGAAGAGGACAGUGGAACUCCAUGUGUAGCGGUGAAAUGCGUAGAUAUAUGGAAGAACACCAGUGGCGAAGGCGGCUGUCUGGUCUGUAACUGACGCUGAGGCUCGAAAGUAUGGGUAGCAAACAGGAUUAGAUACCCUGGUAGUCCAUACCGUAAACGAUGAAUGCUAAGUGUUGGAGGGUUUCCGCCCUUCAGUGCUGCAGCUAACGCAUUAAGCAUUCCGCCUGGGGAGUACGGCCGCAAGGCUGAAACCAAAG